rnacentral:rRNA from 1 species
GAUCAUGGCUCAGAUUGAACGCUGGCGGAAUGCUUUACAUAUGCAAGUCGAACGGCAGCACGGACUUCGGGUCUGGUGGCGAGUGGCGAACGGGUGAGUAAUAUAUCGGAACGUGCCCAGUCGUGGGGGAUAACGUAGUGAAAGUUACGCUAAUACCGCAUACGAUCUACGGAUGAAAGCGGGGGAUCGCAAGACCUCGCGCGAUUGGAGCGGCCGAUAUCAGAUUAGGUAGUUGGUGGGGUAAAGGCUCACCAAGCCAACGAUCUGUAGCUGGUCUGAGAGGACGACCAGCCACACUGGAACUGAGACACGGUCCAGACUCCUACGGGAGGCAGCAGUGGGGAAUUUUGGACAAUGGACGCAAGUCUGAUCCAGCCAUUCCGCGUGCAGGAUGAAGGCCCUCGGGUUGUAAACUGCUUUUGUACGGAACGAAAAGGUUUCCAUUAAUACUGGGAGCUCAUGACGGUACCGUAAGAAUAAGCACCGGCUAACUACGUG